rnacentral:misc_RNA from 1 species
GAUGAAGAACGCAGCGAAAUGCGAUACGUAAUGUGAAUUGCAGAAUUCAGUGAAUCAUCGAAUCUUUGAACGCAUAUUGCGCUCUCUGGUAUUCCGGAGAGCAUGCUUGUUUGAGUAUCAGUAAACACCUCAACUUCCAUAUCUUUUUUGAAAUGGGAGUUGGACUUGAGUGAUCCCAACGCUUUUCCUCACCGAAAAGUGGCGGGUUACUUGAAAUGCAGGUGCAGCUGGACUUUUCUCUGAGCUAUAAGAAUAUCUAUUUAGUCUGCCUAAAAAACAGAUUAUUACCUUUGCUGCAGCUAACAUAAAGGAGAUUAGUUCUUGUGCUGACUGAUGCAGGAUUCACAAAGACAGCUUCGGCCGACUUUGUAAACUCGAUCUCAAAUCAAGUAAGACUACCCGCUGAACUUAAGCAUAUCAAUAAGCGGAGGA